rnacentral:lncRNA from 1 species
UAAAAUAUUUAGUUUUAUAAGUGCCACACAAUUGAAAAAGACAUUAAUUGCUCAUUCUAACCCAACGGCCACAGUGGUUAUAGUCCUUUAUAGGAGGGAAAGAACCCCAACAACCCUAGAAUACAUAGUGUUCCAUUCAAGAGACGCUCAUCUAAUGUCUAACGUCUAACGUCUAACGUCUAACAUCGUUCACCACUGGGAGCUGUGGAUAUAGUGCCGAGAAAAUACAAUCACAUCUUGAAAGUUGGAAAUAAUAGAAAUUGAAAGCAUGAUCCCAAAUCUUUAUUUCAAAGCACCCAUCAGUGAGAGAAAGAAAGUAAAUUGGAAUAUGAAGACCUCUUUGAUCUUCCUUUGGAGGUAAAAUUAUAGGAAUCAAAAGAUUCAGAAGUGUCAAGCUGAAACUUGUCAAGAAAGGCUUCAGGAGAAAUAAAUGUUUCUUCUGUUUCAAGACAUACGUGAAGAAAAAUCAUAAAGGAAACCUGCGAAUGAAACCAGUGCUCCUACCACCGUGCUACGGGGUUUCUUUUUCAACUCUUCUUAAAUUCUUUGUGAUCAACAUAAAAAGGUGUCGAGCAUGAACUCUUUGCCCUAGGCCUAAUACCCUAUGGACAUUAAUUACGAAUACAUUCGGAGACUUGCAAAGCAGAGUCCCGGACACUGGCCUACUGUGAAUUCACUCUGGGCAGCAAUCUCCUGAUUCUCCUGGCAUCUUUCCUCUGUGUCUCAGCAGGGACUCUGAAAUGGUGUGUGCUAACAGCUGUAAAGCAAAUCACAAGUAAUUUGUUAUUAAUAAAAUGUUGAAAUUUUGUAAAUGACUUAGUUUU